rnacentral:rRNA from 1 species
UGCCAGCCGCCGCGGUAAUACGGAGGGUGCAAGCAUUAAUCGGAUUUAUUGGGCGUAAAGAGCGCGUAGGCGGGAAAGAAAGUCAGACGUGAAAUCCCGGGGCUCACCCCCGGAACUGCGUUUGAAACUGUUAAUCUAGAAUCUCGGAGGGGGAUGGGGAAUUUCUCAUGUAGGGGUAAAAUCCGUAGAGAUGAGAAGGAACACCUGAGGCGAAGGCGCCAUCCUGGACGAGUAUUGACGCUGAGGCGCGAAAGCGUGGGGAGCAAACAGGAUUAGAUA